CACGUAGGGUGCGAGCGUUGUCCGGAAUUAUUGGGCGUAAAGAGCUCGUAGGCGGUGUAUCGCGUCGGCCGUGAAAACCUGCAGCUUAACUGUGGGCUUGCGGUCGAUACGGGCAUCACUGGAGUUCGGCAGGGGAGACUGGAAUUCCUGGUGUAGCGGUGAAAUGCGCAGAUAUCAGGAGGAACACCGGUGGCGAAGGCGGGUCUCUGGGCCGAUACUGACGCUGAGGAGCGAAAGCGUAGGGAGCGAACAGG
rnacentral:rRNA from 1 species